UGUGUAGGCGGUUCUCUAAGUUUGGUGUGAAAUCUCCCGGCUCAACCGGGAGGGUGCGCCGAAAACUGGAGGGCUAGAGUGCGGGAAGGGAGAGUAGAAUUCCUGGUGUAGCGGUGAAAUGCGUAGAUAUCAGGAGGAAUACCGGUGGUGCAGACGGCUCUCUGGACCGCUACUGACGCUGAGACACGAAAGCGUGGGUAGCAAACAGGAUUAGAUACCCUGGUAGUCCACGCCCUAAACGAUGCAUAUUUGGUGUAGGUCAUUCAGUUGAUCUGUGCCGGAGCUAACGCGUUAAAUAUGCCGCCUGGGGAGUACAGUCGCAAGGCUAGA
rnacentral:rRNA from 1 species